rnacentral:rRNA from 1 species
GAUGAACGCUGGCGGCGUGCCUAAUACAUGCAAGUCGAGCGAACAGACGAGGAGCUUGCUCCUCUGACGUUAGCGGCGGACGGGUGAGUAACACGUGGAUAACCUACCUAUAAGGCUGGGAUAACUUCGGGAAACCGGAGCUAAUACCGGAUAAUAUAUUGAACCGCAUGGUUCAAUAGUGAAAGACGGUUUUGCUGUCACUUAUAGAUGGAUCCGCGCCGCAUUAGCUAGUUGGUAAGGUAACGGCUUACCAAGGCAACGAUGCGUAGCCGACCUGAGAGGGUGAUCGGCCACACUGGAACUGAGACACGGUCCAGACUCCUACGGGAGGCAGCAGUAGGGAAUCCUCCGCAAUGGGCGAAAGCCUGACGGAGCAACGCCGCGUGAGUGAUGAAGGUCUUCGGAUCGUAAAACUCUGUUAUUAGGGAAGAACAAAUGUGUAAGUAACUAUGCACGUCUUGACGGUACCUAAUCAGAAAGCCACGGCUAACUACGUG